rnacentral:tRNA from 1 species
GCCGGGGUGGUGAAAUGGUAGACACGCCAGACUUAAAAUCUUGUGAUCUUAUGAUCGUGUGGGUUCGAUUCCCCCCCCGGCA